UACAGAGGUCUCGAGCGUUAGGCGGAAUCACUGGGCUUAAAGCGUGUGUAGGUGGAUCGGUAAGUACCUUGUGAAAUCCCACAGCUUAACUGUGGAACUGCUUGGUAUACUGCCAGUCUUGAGCCAGCUAGGGGCUACCGGAACAAAUGGUGGAGCGGUGAAAUGCGUAGAUAUCGUCUGGAACGCCAAAGGUGAAAACAGCUCGCUGGGGUUGUGCUGACGCUGAGACACGAAAGCCAGGGGAGCGAACGGG
rnacentral:rRNA from 1 species